AGGUGACUGAUGCCCGGUGAGAGGUUGAACGUGACACAUACCCCCGUCAGCUGCAAGAAAGGAACCACGAGACAGGGUACAGACAGUGCAGGACACGGCGGACGGUAUACAAAGGGAUGUUCUUUCGGGGCUACUGUGCCGUUUCGCACGAUAUGCUUCAACUGGCCCACAUCGUCAUUCAGCCCGAAACACAUUUAAAUAACCCUCCCCUUUGUUGCCAUAGAAACCAUCCAAACAACAGUUUUUCCAGCAUAUCCGUGUUCUAUCCUCUCAAGACCGGCAAACCGGAAUCCAUGUUUUUCUUUAGAAUGAACUUCAUUGAUGUGCUGUAUAAAUCUAGUGGCUCCGAUGCCGGUCCUGAGGGAUCGAACAUGCUCAUGGAUUCUGUGGAAUAGGGGCCUUUUCGUCUUCCCAAUGUAAAAUAAAUUACAUUUACAAACCAGUGCGUAAAUCACAUGAUAGGACCUGCAUGUAAUACAUUGUCUCACAGUAAUUUUAUUACCUGCUAAUUCCAAAAAUCUACCUUUCAUAUUAAUUGAACAAAAGGAGCAAGAACCACAACAAAAGUUCCCUUUUGGUCGUAAUUCAGACAGCCAAUUUGAUUCAGAUGCGUUCUUUUUCUUUCUCAACAAGUUCCCAAUUGUUUUA